rnacentral:rRNA from 1 species
UUUUUAUGGAACCAUUAUGGAGGAUCUUGUGCUUGDDUCUUUGAAUGACACGAGCGCACUCCAACUGCGCCUCAAUUGDDGCUUUUGCCAAUUUGGUGCAAAUAGAGUGUACACGUUGGGACCCGAAAGDDGAUGGUGAACUAUGCCUGGCAAGGACGAAGCCAGGGGAAACUCUGGUGGDDGAGGUCCGUUUGGAUUCUGACGUGCAAAUCGAUCCUAAGAGCUAGGUAGDDUAGGGGCGAAAGACUAAUCGAACCAUCUAGUAGCUGGUUCCCCCUGAAGDDGUUUCCCUCAGGAUAGCUGGUGCUCGAUGAUUAAGAGUCUCAGDDUCCGGUAAAGCGAAUGAUUAGAGGCCUUGGGGUCGAAAUGACCUCAACGDDCUAUUCUCAAACUUUAAAUGGGUGAGACGCCAGGCUUGCUUGUCUGGDDAAGUGCUGGCAAAUAGAUCGAUGAAGUACCUAGGDDUGGGCCACUUUUGGUAAGCAGAACUGGCGCUGUGGGAUGAACCAAACGGDDUUGGGAUAAGGCGCC